rnacentral:sRNA from 1 species
CUCGGUUUGCGAGACAGACCCGUCGAAAAGCAGUUUAGUAAAGCAGUUCUCAUUUCAAGUGUUAUCCCAAGAUAUCCCUUCUUUUUGAGUCUCCUCCAUAAGCGCUAAGUAAAUUCUGUUAUGCAGGCCACGCAACGCCGUAAGGCUCAAUGAUUUUUUAAGGUGAUAACAUGUCUGACAAAAUGACUGGUUUAGUAAAAUGGUUUAACGCGGAAAAAGGUUUCGGCUUCAUCACUCCGGACAACGGCAGCAAGGACGUUUUCGUUCACUUCUCCGCUAUCCAGAACAACGGCUUCAAAACCCUGGAAGAAGGCCAGAAGGUCUCUUUCUCCGUUGAAAGCGGCGCGAAAGGCCCGGCAGCUGCGAACGUAACUGCCAUCUAAUCGCUCGCUCUGCGCGGUUUCCGACAGCGAUGACGGGUCAGCCCUGAGCAGUGAAAUCGACGCAAAAAAAACCCGCCUUGUGCGGGUUUUUUUAU